rnacentral:rRNA from 1 species
UGCGGCAGCUACCAUGCAGUCGAGCGGUAGAGAGAAGCUUGCUUCUCUUGAGAGCGGCGGACGGGUGAGUAAUGCCUAGGAAUCUGCCUGGUAGUGGGGGAUAACGUUCGGAAACGGACGCUAAUACCGCAUACGUCCUACGGGAGAAAGCAGGGGACCUUCGGGCCUUGCGCUAUCAGAUGAGCCUAGGUCGGAUUAGCUAGUUGGUGAGGUAAUGGCUCACCAAGGCGACGAUCCGUAACUGGUCUGAGAGGAUGAUCAGUCACACUGGAACUGAGACACGGUCCAGACUCCUACGGGAGGCAGCAGUGGGGAAUAUUGGACAAUGGGCGAAAGCCUGAUCCAGCCAUGCCGCGUGUGUGAAGAAGGUCUUCGGAUUGUAAAGCACUUUAAGUUGGGAGGAAGGGUUGUAGAUUAAUACUCUGCAAUUUUGACGUUACCGACAGAAUAAGCACCGGCUAACUCUGUGCCAGCAGCCGCGGUAA